GAUGAACGCUGGCGGCGUGCCUAAUACAUGCAAGUCGAGCGAACGGACGAGAAGCUUGCUUUUCUGAUGUUAGCGGCGGACGGGUGAGUAACACGUGGAUAACCUACCUAUAAGACUGGGAUAACUUCGGGAAACGGGAGCUAAUACCGGAUAAUAUUUUGAAACGCAUGGUUCAAAAGUGAAAGACGGUCUUGCUGUCACUUAUAGAUGGAUCCGCGCUGCAUUAGCUAGUUGGUAAGGUAACGGCUUACAAAGGCAACGAUGAAUAGCCGACCUGAGAGGUUGAUCGGCCACACUGGAACUGAGACACGGUCCAGACUCCUACGGGAGGCAGCAGUAGGGAAUCUUCCGCAAUGGGCGAAAGCCUGACGGAGCAACGCCGCGUGAGUGAUGAAGGUCUUCGGAUCGUAAAACUCUGUUAUUAGGGAAGAACAUAUGUGUAAGUAACUGUUCACAUCUUGACGGUACCUAAUCAGAAAGCCACGGCUAACUACGUG
rnacentral:rRNA from 1 species